CCACCACCAAAGCAUUCUCUGGUGUUGAAGGCCCUGCAAAGCAGCAUCGCGGUGGCGGAGCGUCGUUUGCGACGCCCAACGCACAAAACAAGCGGUGAGUGCUUUGGGGUGGGGUGACUGCGUACCUUUUGUAUAAUGGGUCAGCGACUUAUAUUCUGUAGCAAGGUUAACCGCAUAGGGGAGCCGUAGGGAAACCGAGUCUUAACCGGGCGUUAAGUUGCAGGGUAUAGACCCGAAACCCGGUGAUCUAGCCAUGGGCAGGUUGAAGGUUGGGUAACACUAACUGGAGGACCGAACCGACUAAUGUUGAAAAAUUAGCGGAUGACCUGUGGCUGGGGGUGAAAGGCCAAUCAAACCGGGAGAUAGCUGGUUCUCCCCGAAAGCUAUUUAGGUAGCGCCUCGUGAAUUCAUCUCCGGGGGUAGAGCACUGUUUCGGCUAGGGGGCCAUCCCGGCUUACCAACCCGAUGCAAACUGCGAAUACCGGAGAAUGUUAUCACGGGAGACACACGGCGGGUGCUAACGUCCGUCGUGAAGAGGGAAACAACCCAGACCGCCAGCUAAGGUCCCAAAGUCAUGGUUAAGUGGGAAACGAUGUGGGAAGGCCCAGACAGCCAGGAUGUUGGCUUAGAAGCAGCCAUCAUUUAAAGAAAGCGUAAUAGCUCACUGGUCGAGUCGGCCUGCGCGGAAGAUGUAACGGGGCUAAACCAUGCACCGAAGCUGCGGCAGCGAACGUAUCACCCAAGACAACUUUGCGGAGUUGACGAUUGACGGAGCGAAGCGACGUCAAAGCGUUCAUUAAAGUCGAGUUGGCUUAGGGAUACGUUCGUUGGGUAGGGGAGCGUUCUGUAAGCCUGUGAAGGUGGCCUGUGAGGGUUGCUGGAGGUAUCAGAAGUGCGAAUGCUGACAUAAGUAACGAUAAAGCGGGUGAAAAGCCCGCUCGCCGGAAGACCAAGGGUUCCUGUCCAACGUUAAUCGGGGCAGGGUGAGUCGACCCCUAAGGCGAGGCCGAAAGGCGUAGUCGAUGGGAAACGGGUUAAUAUUCCCGUACUUGGUGUUACUGCGAAGGGGGGACGGAGAAGGCUAUGUUGGCCGGGCGACGGUUGUCCCGGUUUAAGCGUGUAGGUGUGUGUUCCAGGUAAAUCCGGUUCACUUUAAC
rnacentral:rRNA from 1 species